UUUCUUUUGAACCGUGACGCUGUCCGAGAACAGUGACUCUCGACAUUGCUGAGUGCUUUUUUCAGAAAUUUUUCGUCGAAAAAGCCUUAUGGAGUCUGAGCUUCAUGUGUUGCGUGCACGUUAUCGCUGACUUCAUUGACUUGUCAUGAAGAUGCAUCCUAGAGAAGGUUCUAUCAUAUUGAAUGACAAAUGAGAUGAAAAGAGGAAAUCUGGAAAAGCAGUUGUUAAAAGUUGCCAGUUUGAAUCAUCAGUGGGCAAGCAUUUUGCUAAUCUGUAGUCGACUAUGGAUGUGACACAUAUUCUGUGUUUUGAAUACGAGUUGUAUAUUACAUUUUUGAUAAAGAAAGAAUCCGACACCUACUUGUUUUCAAGAUUCCUUGAUCAGUUCGGUGUUUGAGCUGUUGAUGGUGUUGUCUGGUGCGAAUCUUGCAGUCAUUUUCCAUCUGAGAGCUUCCCUGUAAUGGAACUUGUAUUAACUUGCAGUCGGACUUAAGUGUUAUGGUGGUGCUCAUGUAUUCAUGGACCGUUAAUCGAACUGUUUUGUUGGGUCUGUUUGGGGUGCAGUGGUUUUCCAGUUGCGAGAUGCGUAGCAGUGGAGCUUAAGCAGAUAACUUGUUUAAUAGUUUCAGAGUUUGUUCACCAGCGGUCAACACCCUAGUGUUGGCAACAUGGCAAACUUUUGUCGCCGACGUCAUUUCUAUUCCUGGUGCUGUCAAUUCCGGUGUUCGUGAACAGUGCCGUCAAACAUUCUUCUUCACAGAUAUCCCCAAAUAGGAUUAAUUGCUUGGUCAAGCUGAGCUUUUUCAAGGCUGUUCAAUUUCCACUGCAAUAUGUUGCAGCCAGUUGGUUGAUGGUGUGGUGAACUGUUGUAUGAAGACCAUGCGCUGUUAUGAGCUUCUGGAUACAAUCCGGUGCUGGUGUGGGGAAUUGUUGAUGCUGUCUGUGGAGUUUGGGCUUGAAAUUUUUAAGAGUUCACUGCCUUAACAAUUGAGUGCAAAUAUCCAGUCAGUUAGAUGUCUGACUUUAAUUGAUGUCUCUAUUUGGUGUGUAUUUCAUAUUUGGGUGGUUAGCCAGAUUUUGAAUGGGAGUUAAAGUCAAAUUGAGCUGCACGUUCUGCAAGCGAUCUUCAUUGCUGAUGUCAUCCUGAAGUGUAAAAUCAAUGAAGUCAUCUUGAAAUGGUCUUGGCUAUGAAGUUAUUAUCAUCAAUCCUCUGCAUGCAGUUGUUAUCAAAAGUUGGAGAAGUAAGACGGCAAAGCUGCCAGAAAAAGAAAUGGUCUCUACGGAAAUGUGCAGCGGUUUUGCAGUCCGACUUUGUUCAAGCUGUUGCUUUCCUGAAUUUUGCUAGUCUUUGAAGUAGCUGAACCUGAAGUUAUGAUGCUGGUGUUAUCCUGAAAUAGCUGUUGUUGGUGCUAUCAAAUUACUGUGGCAGUGCAAUUCGGUUAUAUUAUAUCUAUAUAGUAUGUGAUUGUAGUAACCUUAAGCUAUUUCGUCACCCAUUGUGUCAUGUUGCAAUCUGACGUUUGUAUUGUUUAAACAACAGUUGUGCUACUGAUAUUAUCCUCACCCAUAUCUAGAAAUAAUGUUAUGUCAAAGUUAACUUGCAAUAUUUCGAUGUGCGUUGGAAAUUUAAGCUCGAUAUAUUUUCACAAAUUAUAAAAUAAAUAAAAACAAAACCAACUUUA
rnacentral:lncRNA from 1 species